rnacentral:rRNA from 1 species
GACGAACGCUGGCGGCGUGCUUAACACAUGCAAGUCGAACGAUGAAGCCGGAGCUUGCUCUGGUGAAUUAGUGGCGAACGGGUGAGUAACACGUGAGUAACCUGCCCUUGACUCUGGGAUAACUGCGGGAAACUGUAGCUAAUACCGGAUACGACCCUCGGAGGCAUCUCCUGGGGGUGGAAAGAAUUUCGGUCAAGGAUGGACUCGCGGCCUAUCAGCUAGUUGGUGAGGUAAAGGCUUACCAAGGCGACGACGGGUAGCCGGCCUGAGAGGGUGACCGGCCACACUGGGACUGAGACACGGCCCAGACUCCUACGGGAGGCAGCAGUGGGGAAUAUUGCACAAUGGGCGCAAGCCUGAUGCAGCAGCGCCGCGUGAGGGAUGACGGACUUCGGGUUGUAAACCUCUUUUAGCAGGGAAGAAGCGAAAGUGACGGUACCUGCAGAAAAAGCACCGGCUAACUACGUGCCAGCCGCCGCCGUAA